rnacentral:rRNA from 1 species
GACGAACGCUGGCGGCGUGCUUAACACAUGCAAGUCGAGCGGUAAGGCCCUUUCGGGGGUACACGAGCGGCGAACGGGUGAGUAACACGUGGGUGACCUGCCCUCAGCUCUGGGAUAAGCCUGGGAAACUGGGUCUAAUACUGGAUAUGACUCCACGGUGCAUGUCGUGGGGUGGAAAGCCUUGUGCGGCUGAGGAUGGGCCCGCGGCCUAUCAGCUUGUUGGUGGGGUGANGGCCUACCAAGGCGACGACGGGUAGCCGGCCUGAGAGGGCGACCGGCCACACUGGGACUGAGACACGGCCCAGACUCCUACGGGAGGCAGCAGUGGGGAAUCUUGCGCAGUGGGCGAAAGCCUGACGCAGCGACGCCGCGUGAGGGAUGACGGCCUGG